rnacentral:lncRNA from 1 species
CUGACACUCUGAUAGUGCAUCAGCAUGGGUCGGCGCUCUUCUGACAGUGAUGAUGACAGUCGGAGCAAGAGGAAGAAAAAACAGCGUCGCCGUUCGUCCUCCUCUUCUUCAUCCUCAUCCUCCGGUAGCCGGGUGAGAAGCAGCCGCAGCCGGAGAUCCAGUCGCAGGACCCGAUCUCACUCAAGAGACAGAAGGAGACGGAGACGUUCCAGCAGCAGUUCCUCCCACAGCUCAUCUCGUCGGAGGAGGAGUCGAAGUGCAGAGAGAGACAAAGGGAGGAGCCACCGCUCACACAGAUCACGCAGUCGGGACAGAAGGUCUCAUUCUCGCCACCGAAGGUCUCGCAGUCGGAGUGGCAGCCGUAGCCAUCGGGCAAGCCGCAGCCACAAAAGGAGCCGGAGUCACAGCAGAGAGCGGGACAGGAGCCGCCGUAAGGGCCGCGAUCGAGAGAGGGACAAAGACAAGGAGAGAGACAGACGACGAGACAGAGAUAAGGACAGAAGUAAAGACAGGGCAGAGAAGAAGGGGUAA